rnacentral:rRNA from 1 species
AGUGAACGCUGGCGGUAGGCCUAACACAUGCAAGUCGAACGGCAGCACAGUAAGAGCUUGCUCUUACGGGUGGCGAGUGGCGGACGGGUGAGGAAUACAUCGGAAUCUACUUUUUCGUGGGGGAUAACGUAGGGAAACUUACGCUAAUACCGCAUACGACCUACGGGUGAAAGCAGGGGAUCUUCGGACCUUGCGCGAUUGAAUGAGCCGAUGUCGGAUUAGCUAGUUGGCGGUGUAAAGGCCCACCAAGGCGACGAUCCGUAGCUGGUCUGAGAGGAUGAUCAGCCACACUGGAACUGAGACACGGUCCAGACUCCGACGGGAGGCAGCAGUGGGGAAUAUUGGACAAUGGGCGCAAGCCUGAUCCAGCCAUACCGCGUGGGUGAAGAAGGCCUUCGGGUUGUAAAGCCCUUUUGUUGGGAAAGAAAAGCAGCAGGUUAAUACCCCGCUGUUCUGACGGUACCCAAAGAAUAAGCACCGGCUAACUUCGUG